rnacentral:rRNA from 1 species
CUUGACAAACUUAUAAGAGGUCCAGCCUGCCCAGUGACUCUGUUCAACGGCCGCGGUAUCCUAACCGUGCGAAGGUAGCGUAAUCACUUGUUCUUUAAAUGAGGACUAGUAUGAAUGGCACCACGAAGGUUAUACUGUCUCCUUUUUCUAAUCAGUGAAACUAAUCUUCCCGUGAAGAAACGGGAAUAAAAAUAUAAGACGAGAAGACCCUAUGGAGCUUUAAACAAAUAUACACCUGCCUCUUUACCAAAAAUUUCAGAAGACAAGUAAUUACCCGGGCAUUUUGAUAUAGCGUUUUAGGUUGGGGUGACCGCGGAGCAAAAAAUAACCUCCGCAGCGAACGGGAGUAUUCCCUAAACCAAGGGCCACAACCCCAAGUAUUGAUAAAUCAACACCAAUUGACCCAAUAAAU